rnacentral:rRNA from 1 species
AGAGGGUGCAAACGUUGUUCGGAAUUACUGGGCGUAAAGCGCGUGUAGGCGGCUAUGUAAGUCGGGCGUGAAAUCCCACGGCUCAACUGUGGAAGUGCACUCGAAACUGCGUAGCUAGAGUCCUGGAGAGGAAGGUGGAAUACUUGGUGUAGAGGUGAAAUUCGUAGAUAUCAAGUGGAACACCAGUGGCGAAGGCGGCCUUCUGGACAGUGACUGACGCUGAGACGCGAAAGCGUGGGGAGCAAACAGGAUUAGAUACCCUGGUAGUCCACGCCGUAAACGAUGAGUGCUAGGUGUCACGGGCUUUGACCCUCGUGGUGCCGCAGCUAACGCGCUAAGCACUCCGCCUGGGGAGUACGGCCGCAAGGCUA